GCAUUAAUGGGGUAGUGGUAACCUGGGUCGUUGCCAUGAAGGAGACAGUACCAAUUCUUUCGACCCGCCGGGGGUUCGAUUCCCCCUUAAUGCA
rnacentral:tRNA from 1 species